rnacentral:rRNA from 1 species
AUUGAACGCUGGCGGCAUGCCUUACACAUGCAAGUCGAACGGCAGCACGGGUGCUUGCACCUGGUGGCGAGUGGCGAACGGGUGAGUAAUACAUCGGAACAUGUCCUGUAGUGGGGGAUAGCCCGGCGAAAGCCGGAUUAAUACCGCAUACGAUCUACGGAUGAAAGCGGGGGACCUUCGGGCCUCGCGCUAUAGGGUUGGCCGAUGGCUGAUUAGCUAGUUGGGGGGGUAAAGGCCUACCAAGGCGACGAUCAGUAGCUGGUCUGAGAGGACGACCAGCCACACUGGGACUGAGACACGGCCCAGACUCCUACGGGAGGCAGCAGUGGGGAAUUUUGGACAAUGGGCGAAAGCCUGAUCCAGCAAUGCCGCGUGUGUGAAGAAGGCCUUCGGGUGGUAAAGCACUUUUGUCCGGAAAGAAAUCCUUGGCCCUAAUACGGUCGGGGGAUGACGGUACCGGAAGAAUAAGCACCGGCUAACUACGUG